rnacentral:rRNA from 1 species
AGGCAUGCGUGGAUGAGCGAUAUUUACUCUCAAACCUCCCGGUUUGGUCUUGUAACCUAAAUAUCAAAUGGCUGUAGAAUAAGUUUUACACCAACUACUCCUUCCUCAUCUUCGUAAGACUACCCGCUGAACUUAAGCAUAUCAAUAAGCGGAGGAAAAGAAACCAACAGGGAUUGCCUCAGUAACGGCGAGUGAAGCGGCAAAAGCUCAAAUUUGAAAUCCUCCGGGAAUUGUAAUUUGAAGGUGGGGUUGAAUAGGUCUAGAUACUUUAAGUCCAUUGGAAAAUGGCGCCAUGGAGGGUGAUAGCCCCGUAAAAGUAUUCAAACCUUCUUUUCUUCCCCUCCUAAGAGUCGAGUUGUUUGGGAAUGCAGCUCUAAGUGGGUGGUAAAUUCCAUCUAAAGCUAAAUAUUGGCGAGAGACCGAUAGCGAACAAGUACAGUGAUGGAAAGAUGAAAAGCACUUUGAAAAGAGAGUGAAAAAGUACGUGAAAUUGUUGAAAGGGAAGGGCUUGCAAGCAGACACAACCUCGGUUGGGCCAGCAUCGGAGUGGGGGGAGACAAAAAAGGUUAGGAAKGUAGCUCCCUUUAGAGUAUUAUAUCCUAGCCCUAUAUCUCCAUCCCCUUCCGA